UUUUCUGGAGAUCGGGGUCCAAAUAGAGAUUGGAGUUGAAGAUUAUAUCCAGGAUGAGGUCCGUAGGAUUGUCUUCUGUUCAUGUGUCACCUUAGACUUUGGCUGAGGCCAGUGGAGGUCGUUAUAGGUGUCUUCGGAUGAAGAGAUGCACAUGUUACCUUCCUUUUGUGAAGGUGUACCCUCUGAUAUGUCGCCCUCAGAGUGGUUUGGUGUUAUUUCCGACGUUGCCAGCGGAAUUAUC
rnacentral:lncRNA from 1 species